GUACGGACUGAGCUCCGGUCAUGUGCUUUGUACAAAGUACAGCACAGUCACAUGAGGGCUGGAAAACAAGUUAGUGGGGGGUUCAUAUAGACGAGGGGGGGCACGGCUGAACAAUGACCCCCUCAGACCCUGAAUGGACAUUAGCGUCCACAUCCUGGCCCUCGUCACUGAGACGAAUGCGUCGUGUCAGGACAGCGCCGCCUGAAGAUCUCCGGACGCGUUCUCAUGCUUUACUGCACGUUCUUCUGCCGCUCUGGACUCUGGAAAAAAACGCACGAAGAGCUCGGGUUUGGUGGCUUUCUGUCAACGUUUGACUCCAUUGGAGGACAUGCAGACGACGGGCUGGUGAAGCGUUUCAGUCAUUUCAUGAUGUCAGUGUUCUACCAACAAGCAAAAGAACUGUGAGCUUCUUCCUGCUAAAAGCAUCUGAUUCUACCAGAACAACGGCGCUCAGACGCUACACAAACGCUCAGCUUUCUCUACGAAGUGAAACUUCCCAUCAAGUUGCGCUGGACUCCUUCCAGAGAUCACUCUGGACCGGAUCAUGGAACCAGUCCCGGUGAGGUCCAGGUCUUCAUUCAGGUCUAAGGAGCAGCACACUUACAUGAAAAGCUUUCUCAGACUGGAAGGGUCAGGGUGGAUGCACCGCUCCACCGACCCCAGAAGCUCCUCCAGAGAGAAGUCAGACCACGUUCUGCACGACGGACGUGAACAUUCCCAUGAAAAUUAAACAGAUUCUUUUAUUGAAAUAUCUGGUUUAUUUCCUAAAGACAAUUAAAAACAAUGUAGAAAUUAUUCAGAAAAAUUAAAUCUGCAGGAUCUCAACCGACUGCAUGCAAACUUCAUUUCUAAAAACAGCUUCAGUAAAUUCAGAUUCUUCUUCAUUUCAAUAAUUCACAUUUGCACCUGAUUCUGGCAGCAAAUAUUUCACAAUAUCCUAAUAUUUGCAUCAAACAGAAAGUCUGAGUAAUCUUUAAGUGACUGUGAGCAGAAAGCCUUCAUUCAUGCUUAUCACCGCGGUGGUGAAUAAAGGGACGUGUGGGGGGGCCGCGCUGCAAAGCAGGCUUAUUGUUCCAUUUUUGCACCGACCGCAGCAACAAGCCCAAGCUUUCACUCUGAAACAACAAGCCACUAAUUCCACUGAAUUCUCAGACAACUUACUUAAUUGGGACAAAAACUGUUUACAACGGGCGCAGACUCACGCAGCUGAUAAGAGCUAACCUUCGCUCCUCCAGAGCCGCCGCCGCAACACUCCUGCUGCUGCAGCAUGCCCUUAUCCAGCCUCCAUCACUAACAAAACAAAAAAUCUCUACAUGCCAAUAUCAGCCUGACCAGGACCGUGUCUGCGCAUGCAACGCAGACGUUCAAACGCAGACGAGGUUUUCUUUAAGCACUGAAACCCACAUAACCCGAGGGGUGUCUGCGAUCCAUUUAUGCAAAGAAUGUCAAAACCAAAGUGUUCCCAAUUUUCGUUUUUUGAUUCUCAAAAGGUCCAUUUAUCCCCAUUUAUUUUAUUAUUUAUUAACCUUUAUUCAACCAGGAAGUCCCAUUGAGAUUAAAAAAGCUCUUUUACAAGAGAGUCCUGGCCAAGAGGUGACAAAAUAAUAAUAAUUACAGUUAGAAAAUAAAAACAUUUCAUUUAAAAACAGUUGCAACGAAAAUAAUCUCUCUCGUGCUCUCAACUUGGAUUUAAAAUCAUUUAAUGGAAGAAUUUAUGGGAAAAAAACGAGGUUUCUGUCCGUCAGAAUAAUCAGACAGUAAAAUGUCAAAUUAUUCAAAAUUUUUGUUGUAAAUUCUACAAUUUAUUUCUAAAUACUGAUUAAAAAAAACUACAGAAUAAAAAAAACUCAAAAACAGUUUGAGGAAGUCAAACUUCCCAUUAUGUAAAUUUUUCUCAAGAACAUUUACAGAGAUGAGCUGCAAAUCUAAAAUUAAAAUCAGGUGUGAAGUAACUUUUAUCCAACAAAAUAUACACAUUUUAAAGCAAUGAUUUGAGUUUUUCUUCCAAAGAAGAGUUCACAACGGAAUAAAAAGAUAAUUUGUUCUUUUAAAUUUUGCAAAAAUGCAAACUAACGUUUCUUUUUCUCAAUUAAUCCCAGAGUUUUACUUUAGGUUUUAUAAAUGUGUCAAAAUGAUUCAUGU